rnacentral:rRNA from 1 species
AUUGAACGCUGGCGGCAGGCCUAACACAUGCAAGUCGAGCGGAUGAAGGGAGCUUGCUCCUGGAUUCAGCGGCGGACGGGUGAGUAAUGCCUAGGAAUCUGCCUGGUAGUGGGGGAUAACGUCCGGAAACGGGCGCUAAUACCGCAUACGUCCUGAGGGAGAAAGUGGGGGAUCUUUGGACCUCACGCUAUCAGAUGAGCCUAGUUCGGAUUAGCUAGUUGGUGGGGUAAAGGCCUACCAAGGCGACGAUCCGUAACUGGUCUGAGAGGAUGAUCAGUCACACUGGAACUGAGACACGGUCCAGACUCCUACGGGAGGCAGCAGUGGGGAAUAUUGGACAAUGGGCGAAAGCCUGAUCCAGCCAUGCCGCGUGUGUGAAGAAGGUCUUCGGAUUGUAAAGCACUUUAAGUUGGGAGGAAGGGCAGUAAGUUAAUACCUUGCUGUUUUGACGUUACCAACAGAAUAAGCACCGGCUAACUUCGUG